AGCCGCGGUAACACCGGCGGCCCGAGUGGUGAUCGUGAUUAUUGGGUCUAAAGGGUCCGUAGCCGGUUUGGUCAGUCCUCCGGGAAAUCUGAUAGCUCAACUAUUAGGCUUUCGGGGGAUACUGCCAGACUUGGAACCGGGAGAGGUAAGAGGUACUACAGGGGUAGGAGUGAAAUCUUGUAAUCCCUGUGGGACCACCUGUGGCGAAGGCGUCUUACCAGAACGGGUUCGACGGUGAGGGACGAAAGCUGGGGGGCACGAACCGGAUUAGAUACCCGGGUAGUCCCAGCCGUAAACGAUGCUCGCUAGGUGUCAGGCAUGGCGCGACCGUGUCUGGUGCCGCAGGGAAGCCGUGAAGCGAGCCACCUGGGAAGUACGGCCGCAAGGCUGAAACUUAAAGGAAUUGGCGGGGGAGCACAACAACGGGUGGAGCCCUGCGGUUUAAUUGGACUCAACGCCGGACAACUCACCGGGGGCGACAGCAAUAUGUAGGCCAAGCUGAAGACUUUGCCUGAAUCGCUGAGAAGAGGUGCAUGG
rnacentral:rRNA from 1 species